CAGGAGCUCCAUUUGGUCCGGAUUGCAAUUUCCCACUGUCUCAAAACUGCAGCUGACAUUACAGUGCACCCCUGCCUCCCCAUGUCCCCAUGAUGUUCACAGCCCCAAUUUGGAGGCCCCUGUUCAGUCUCAGGCCUGUCCUUGUGAUUGUUUAAGCCACUUAUCUUCUGGAACAAGAGUGAAGGCUCGAGUUUGUAGAUAAUCUCUGUUGUCCAGGGUGUGGCUUGUUGUCUAGUUUAAUGUGUAUAGGCAGUUGGUACCGUUGACAUUUUCACUUUUGGAUCUCCCUUGUUAAAAGAGUUUAAGGGGGCCGGGUAGCUCAGUGGUGGGAAUGCUUGCCUAGAGUGUGUGUGAGGCUCUGGGUUCAACCGACAGCACUGUGAAAUAAAUAAAAGAACUUAAAAAUGAAAAAGAGAAAGUUCUUGAAUACAUAUGGAUAGGAACUGUGUGUGUUGGAUUUGAGCAUCCAAUAUGUGGAUAUACACACAAGGAUGUAUACAUAUACACCCAUAUAAAGUGUCUGUAUUCAGAGUUCCAGGAAACUAAGAAUCCAUGGGCUCUUCAUUAAACCCAGAUCACUGUUUUUAAUUUCUACCUCUAUUUUCCAGAGAUUUAUUUAUUUCUAUUUUAUGUGUGUUGGUAUUUUGUCUGUGAACAUGUAUGCAGUGCCCAAGGAAACCAAAAGGUACUCGAGCCCCUGGGACUGGAGUUAUAUGGUUGUGAGCUUCCAUGUGGGUGCUGGGAACUGAAGCCAGGUCCUCUAGAAGAACAGUCAGUGCUCUUAACUGCUGAGCCAUCUCUCCAGACCCUCCAUUUUUAUUUUAGAGGAAGACCCUGUCCAUAGCUAAGCAUGUCACCAGCACUUGGGAGGAGGACUGUGAGUUCCAAGCCAGCCUGGGUUACAUAUGGAAAGAAAGAAAGAAAGGGAGAUGCAUUACUUAGCUUCUAGUUGAUUAGCUGGGGACAUACUUAGAGGGCCCUUCCCUUUGCUUUUAAUCUCAACCCUUUCAAUUGACUUUUGCACAUAUAAUCAUUCAUUUGUGCCAGCUUUAUCUAGCCAUUUUUUAAGCCUUUUGGCCCUAUUACUUUUAAUUACUCCCCAAAUUUUGUUUGGUAUGCUGAUAUACCUAGGGGACUGGGUUUAGCCUCUUGAACCCUCUCUUUCUGAGUUGAUACUGGGUGGUCUGGUCUUGAGGUAUCACCAGCAGCUCUGGUUUGUGUAUUUCCCUUUUUGUACCCCAGUGGAGGAUGUUCAGAUACCAUGCUUAGCUUCCUUUUAAGUGGCUGGCUAUUUUUCACAUGGUAUCUAUGCAGCAUCUCCCUGGACAUCAAAACUAUGUCCAGAUGAGCAAACAGACAAUCUUUCUUUUUUUAUUAUUAUUUUAGAGUUUUGGAUGGAAUUUUUUUGGGGGGGGGUGCGUUGAGCCUGUCCUAGAACUCACUCUGACCUCGACCUCACAGAGAUCCACCUACUGCUGCCUCCCAGGUAAUGAGAUUAAAGGUGUGGGCCACCACUGUCUGGUUGGAUCUUUAAGAAUCUGAUCCGCCACGUUAGCAUUUUCCACCAACUUGGGAGCAGAAACCGUCACAGGCUUCACAGUCUGCUUAGUGGGUUGCUUGCAGAGCCUGAGCAGCAGCCAUUGAAGUUCUUAGAUGUCUGCUUAAACUUGUUUCCUCACCUGACAGCUCCAAUGGUUUGAUUUCGUCCAGCUUUUCUACUUCCGGUGCUUUUCUACAUCCGGUUUCUGAUCCUUCUUGGCCAUUACUUCAGCAAGAGAUGGAUGCAAAGAGUAGCCCUGUUUCUGUUUAGGAUUCCUCUUGGAAAGGGAUGAAGACCUGAAUUUUGCAAUAAGAAACUGGAAAAACCACCCACCAAGUUCUGAGUAGUGGGGUCCGCUGUUGCCACUCAACUGUCAUGGCAAGGGUUGACUGGCCAGGAGGAGGAAAGAUGGUGAAGAGAGAAGCCCUUAUUCUAAGGUUGAUUUCUGUUUCCCC
ensembl:lncRNA